rnacentral:rRNA from 1 species
CUGGAGGUAUCAGAAGUGCGAAUGCUGACAUAAGUAACGAUAAAGCGGGUGAAAAGCCCGCUCGCCGGAAGACCAAGGGUUCCUGUCCAACGUUAAUCGGGGCAGGGUGAGUCGACCCCUAAGGCGAGGCCGAAAGGCGUAGUCGAUGGGAAACGGGUUAAUAUUCCCGUACUUGGUGUUACUGCGAAGGGGGGACGGAGAAGGCUAUGUUGGCCGGGCGACGGUUGUCCCGGUUUAAGCGUGUAGGUGUGUGUUCCAGGUAAAUCCGGUUCACUUUAACACUGAGGCGUGAUGACGAGGCACUACGGUGCUGAAGCAACAAAUGCCCUGCUUCCAGGAAAAGCCUCUAAGCAUCAGGUAACAUCAAAUCGUACCCCAAACCGACACAGGUGGUCAGGUAGAGAAUACCAAGGCGCUUGAGAGAACUCGGGUGAAGGAACUAGGCAAAAUGGUGCCGUAACUUCGGGAGAAGGCACGCUGACACGUAGGUGAAGUGAUUUACUCAUGGAGCUGAAGUCAGUCGAAGAUACCAGCUGGCUGCAACUGUUUAUUAAAAACACAGCACUGUGCAAACACGAAAGUGGACGUAUACGGUGUGACGCCUGCCCGGUGCCGGAAGGUUAAUUGAUGGGGUCAGCGCAAGCGAAGCUCCUGAUCGAAGCCCCGGUAAACGGCGGCCGUAACUAUAACGGUCCUAAGGUAGCGAAAUUCCUUGUCGGGUAAGUUCCGACCUGCACGAAUGGCGUAAUGAUGGCCAGGCUGUCUCCACCCGAGACUCAGUGAAAUUGAACUCGCUGUGAAGAUGCAGUGUACCCGCGGCAAGACGGAAAGACCCCGUGAACCUUUACUAUAGCUUGACACUGAACAUUGAGCCUUGAUGUGUAGGAUAGGUGGGAGGCUUUGAAGUGUGGACGCCAGUCUGCAUGGAGCCGACCUUGAAAUACCACCCUUUAAUGUUUGAUGUUCUAACGUGGACCCGUGAUCCGGGUUGCGGACAGUGUCUGGUGGGUAGUUUGACUGGGGCGGUCUCCUCCUAAAGAGUAACGGAGGAGCACGAAGGUUGGCUAAUCCUGGUCGGACAUCAGGAGGUUAGUGCAAUGGCAUAAGC